GACGAACGCUGGCGGCGUGCUUAACACAUGCAAGUCGAACGGAAAGGCCCUGCUUUUGUGGGGUGCUCGAGUGGCGAACGGGUGAGUAACACGUGAGUAACCUGCCCUUGACUUUGGGAUAACUUCAGGAAACUGGGGCUAAUACCGGAUAGGAGCCCCUGCUGCAUGGUGGGGGUUGGAAAGUUUCGGCGGUUGGGGAUGGACUCGCGGCUUAUCAGCUUGUUGGUGGGGUAGUGGCUUACCAAGGCUUUGACGGGUAGCCGGCCUGAGAGGGUGACCGGCCACAUUGGGACUGAGAUACGGCCCAGACUCCUACGGGGGGCAGCAGUGGGGAAUAUUGCACAAUGGGCGGAAGCCUGAUGCAGCAACGCCGCGUGCGGGAUGACGGCCUUCGGGUUGUAAACCGCUUUCGCCUGUGACGAAGCGUGAGUGACGGUAAUGGGUAAAGAAGCACCGGCUAACUACGUG
rnacentral:rRNA from 1 species